AAAAAAGCAGGGGCCUGUUGCCUUUUUGUGAACAGGUCUCUCGUAAACUUCAGGGAAAUCAAUUUUACAUUGUUCUUGGGUGAACCUCUUGACAAUAAAGGACAGAAGGUUCAGUAAACGAUGUUACAUUA